UCGCGUCAACUGUUGUCUCUAUGAAAAAAAUAACGGGGAGUGAGUCGCUAGCUCAGUGAGUAAUAACACUUAGCCACAAUCAUUUUUAAUGGGGACAAGUCAGAAAACAUGCCUUUAUAAUAAUAAUAAUCAGAAACUAUCAUGAGAAUAAAAUGCUCUCUCAAAAACGGUAAAUAUAAUCAGUCUAUUCAUGUGUUUCCUGUAACCGGAAUCAAUUUAACAAAUCGGUAAUAAACUCGGUAAAUAUUGUCUCAUAGAAAAUCUUUAUAUUUGGGAGGUUUCCAAGAAAGGAUCAUGUAAUCUAUAUCACUGUGUGGACCCCUUCGUAAAAGGAGUCAAAUAUAACUUGUAGGUCCCUACUCGAGGGAGAACUGUAACUGUAUGUUAGUUCUACCUUCCCACUAGCGAGGUCUAUAACUGUACUCGAUAAUCGGUAAAUACAAGGUGCACCAGGUCUAACGAACCCGUCGUUAGCUACGGGAUCCUUCAAAGUCUCCUCCCAUUUAUACUUUUUUUUGUAAACAGUAAAUAUUCACAUGGAAACAUUUUCAAAAUAGUACAGGGCAUUUCAAUUCUUAUCAAAUUAUGUAAUCCAAUUUCGGUAACGGUAAUCAUAUCUCAAGUAACAGUAAAACAUGUCUAGUAAUAAUGAGAAUCUUUUAAAUAAUUGUAAACAUCUCAAGUAAACUAUUCAAUACCAUAUCAAGUAAAUGACUUGUCCCACAUGCAAUUUCAAACAUUCAGUAACACAAUUUAUUUUCAAAAUAACGUAUAAACCAUGCAGGUUAUGAAAACACAAAUUGCAGUAAGAUUACUACUCACAGUACUCGUGCUGAAAUACCAAAUGUUUCACCUCGAGCAAUUCAUACAACUUCCUCCAAUCAAUCUAUAAUUACAUAAUAUCGAUCUCAUGUUAGUUUCCAUGUUUAGGCUAAUUCAUUGCUAAUUUAGAAUGCCCAACCCUCGAGGUUUCAUAUUUGACUCUUAAUUCGCCAAAUUAUAUUUACCCACAUAUGAGUAAUUACUAAUCUAUCAACUCCAACCUAUUCAUAUAAUUUAUUAGUCCAAUUUCAUAAAGUUCUAUUGAUUCUUUAGGAAGAAAAUUCUCAAUUGCGUGAAUGAACUAGUGAAAUUUCUAUUACUUUGUAGAAUCUUCCAAUCAUGAGAAUCGAAAUUAAAAUCUAUCAGAAGAAUAUGCUCAAGUAAUACCCGUAAGACACAGUGAAUGCUUAAGAUUCCUCAACAGAUUGCUAAAUAUUAACAAAAAUUAUACAUAUCUUUCCUUGUUUCGCUGAUUUUUGCCAAUCUCCUUAUUUAACUUUAACCAUUAAAAUAUAUUCUCAAAUUUGUGGAAUACAGUACCUUAAGAUUUGAACAAAUAAUGGCCGGAAGUGGCUUCUUCUGCUGUACCAAGCUUUUUCCCCAACUUACCUUCUGUAUUUUUUUUAUUUUUGUCUUAACCCUUGACCCUUCAAAAUCUCUUUUUGCUUCUGGUUUAGUCUUACUCAGCAAACCCUUUUCCCUUUCUUUCUUUUUGAUUUUGGCCAGAGAAAGGGGCUUCGGUCCUUUUAUUCUUUUGU
rnacentral:lncRNA from 1 species